AGCAGCCGCGGUAAUUCCAGCUCCAAUAGCGUAUAUUAAAGUUGUUGCAGUUAAAAAGCUCGUAGUUGAAUUUCGGGAUCAAUAUGUUGGUCGUGCCUCGGUACGUACUAGCUUAUUGGUUUCUCCUUUCUGAAGAACCAUGAUGUCAUUUAUUUGGUGUCGUGGGGAAUCAGGACUGUUACUUUGAAAAAUUAGAGUGUUUAAAGCAGGCUCACGCUUGAAUACAUUAGCAUGGAAUAAUGAAAUAGGACGUUUGAUUCUAUUUUGUUGGUUUCUAGGAUCGACGUAAUGAUUAAUAGGGAUAGUUGGGGGCAUUAGUAUUCAAUUGUCAGAGGUGAAAUUCUUGGAUUUAUUGAAGACUAACUACUGCGAAAAGCAUUUGCCGAGGAUGUUUUUCAAUUUAAUCAAGAACGAAAGUUAGGGGAUCGAAGACGAUCAGAUUACCGUCGUAGUCUUAACCAUAAACUAUGCCGACUAGGGAUCGGAUGAUGUUAAUUUUUUAAUGACUCAUUC
rnacentral:misc_RNA from 1 species